rnacentral:miRNA from 1 species
AUAUGGUAAAGGUUAGGGACC